GCGUGAAAUAGUUUAAAACACUCAAUUUCUUGUAACUCUCUCUUUUCUCGACCCAAAAACUUCCAAAACCCAUUUUUCUCUCAAAAUCCCUCAUCUCCAUCAACCAAGAUCAUCUAUCAAGGGAAGAUCCUCCUAACUUGAGUUAUUCCUAGGUAGAUUAGAGAUCCCUUCUCUUUAGACUUCAUGAUUCUCAACCCCUCUUUUGUAUAAAUUUCAAGGUUAGGGCUCAAAUUUGAAUCCAUGCAUUCUUGCGUCAUUGGAGGCCUAAAGGAAUCUUAGUUUUAUUUCUUUUACUUGUUUCUACAAUCUUGGUGAGCAGGAGGACAAGCAGCCGUCAGACGUGUGAUGUGGGCAUAGUCCACAUUAUCCCUCUCUAUGUUAUAUUGUUUUAUGUGUGUAUUAAUUUCAUGUUUGGACUAUGUGGUGUAUUACGAGGUUGACUUUUUGCCCUUUUAAACUUUAAUUGCAUUUGAUAUGGUAGACUUGGCAUGUCUCUAGACUUUGUGGAUGUUAAUUGGGUGUUACACCAAUUGGAAUGUUUUAGUUUCGUUGGAUGUCGGGGGCAUGUUAUGUAUGGCUUAUGUUUGCUUUAUGAAAACAUAUUCUUCAUUGUGCCUUUGAGGAAAAAAUUUUAACCCACUUGGCAA